rnacentral:sRNA from 1 species
CGUGAAGGAUAACGUUGCGUCAGCAACGGCCCGAAGGGCGAGCGAAGCCGAGUCAUCCUGCACGACCCACCA